rnacentral:rRNA from 1 species
CCUACGGGAGGCAGCAGUGAGGAAUAUUGGUCAAUGGACGAGAGUCUGAACCAGCCAAGUAGCGUGAAGGAUGACUGCCCUAUGGGUUGUAAACUUCUUUUAUAAAGGAAUAAAACGAGGCACGUGUGCCUUUUUGCAGGUACUGUAUGAAUAAGGAUCGGCUAACGCCGUGCCAGCAGCCGCGGUAAUACGGAGGUUCCGAGCGUUAUCCGGAUUUAUGGGGUUUAAAGGGAGCGUAGAGGGGUUGUUAAGGCAGUUGUGAAAGUUUGCGGCUCAACCGUAAACUUGCACUUGCUACUGGCAGUCUUGAGUACAGUUGAGGUCGGCGGACUUCGUGUUGUAGCGG